ACUGUUCAUUAUGGAGAUGAAAACCACCAUCUGGUGAGUAGAAGCAGAGAAGCCCAGAUCUGAGCAUCAGAACAAUGGCUUUUAACAAGCAUGCCAAAGUAUUUGAGAAAUAAAGGUCAAUGAUACCAAGUUUCAGCCAUUUGAUGCUAUUUACACAAGGAGUGAGGAUGUCACAGAACUUCACUGGGAACCAUAUUGAAGAGAUUAAAAUGGCCUAUCCAAUCAUACUCCGUGCAAAGAUGCGUGAUGAUACACUUUAAGCACAAGUGGGACUCGAACCUAGGCCUCCAUUACCACUAUUCAACAAGAGCUCGAUCAUGGAACCCUUGCACCCUGCUGCAUGCACCUACUUGCAGUUCAUUAGAGUUGGGACUUGGGAAAAAUAAUUGCUUUUUAUGUUAAAUUGCUCAGUGGGUUUGGCUCAGUGGUGUCUGGAUGUCUGGGGUCGGGGUCAGGUGGAUAUGAUCCUGGAAGGGUGCAUAGUUGUUCUGCCCCAUUGCUGACUCUCCCGAUCCCACAGCAAGGACCGCGAAAAGAAUGUUCAGCCAUUUAUUUUUCAAAGAUUGCUAUGUCUGAAAACUUGAUAGCGCUGGAAGAGGUAGCUCAAAUUGAUACCCUCUCCAAGAUGCCAGUGGAAAUGGGAGAAGUAAAGGAACCAAAGCCCUCUUCAGGUCUCCACUGCCCUGUAUACACUAGAAGCAGUGAACCCAUAAAUUGGCAUUGCACUUGUUCAGAUGUUGAGAAGCAGCACUAGGACAUAGAACAUAGAACAUAGAACAUAGAACAAUACAGCACAGAACAG